GAAGAAAAAUAUAUUUCAAACUGUUAUCAACUAAACUAAUUUUUAUUUUCAUCUUUUUAGGAGAUGAAGAGAAAGGAAUUUAGAGAUUAUUUUAAAAAUCAUUGAACAUAUCACAAGUGUGGUGUGACUGCCACCCAAGCCCAAGAAGCCCUCCCAAGUCUCCACAUUCGUCCUUCAGUUAGGGCCCCAGUAUCUGUUCAUGUGUACAGCAAAAUGUCUGGGGAGAGCUGCCGGUAUUUUCUGCUGUCUCCACUUACCUGACUCUGUGUUCUCCCCUGACCCCUUUAUAACCCACUUUCAAGUCCACUCCUCCCUAAAACCAGUCUCAUCAGGAUCACCAGCAUCCUCCAUGGAGCACACCACUUUCUUCCCUUGGCUCUGAUUGCAACCUGUUCCUGGCUUGCCUUCUGCCUCUGAGCACGUCUCCUCUUUCCAAUGUCUGAUGACUAAUAGGCCCUAAGCACAGACCUCUGGCUCCUCUCUUCCCUACAGGCCAUUCCCUGCAGCCAGUCUCCAGGCUGUGGACUCCCAGUUGACACCUCUAGCCUCACUUUCCCCUUCACACACACAGCAGCCUGGCUAACAUCACAUUUGGAUACUCAGUCUGCGUCUCCAGCUUCAGUAUCUACCCAGAACUCCACGCCUCUUCCUUCCCUGCCCCAGUCUUCCCCAUUUCAGUAUGUAGCACCACUGUUUACCCAGUUGCUUGUGCCAGGAUCUAAACAUCAUGCUUGAUUCUCCCUCCUCCUCCAUAUCUAACUCAUCAGCUAGUCAGGUUGACCCUGCCUCCUUCCCAAAUCAAGCCACCCAUCCCCACCAUCUCCCCUGCCCCGAGUCCAGGCCGUGCCUCUUAACCAAUCUGCUUUUAUGGUUGCUCCCACUAACUAUUUUUAAAAACAGCCAUGUCUUACAGAACACCGGCCACACCAUGUCAUUUUCCUCCUUAGGACACUGCUGACUCUCCCACACAAUGAAACCCACAGUCCCUGCCGUGGCCUCUGAUGUCCUGUCUGUCCCAUUCCUCACCUCCCACCCCUGGCACUUGCUGGGUUUCAUCUGGCCCUGCUGGCCUUCUUGCUGGCCUUCAGACAUGCCCAGGCUCCCGUCCACCUGGGAGCCCCGCCUCUCUGUUCUUCCCUCAGGUCCUGUCAAGACCUCCUCUCACUUCUAGCUCUCUUCAGACAUCACCUCCUCAGAGAGGCCUGCCCUGGUCACCCAGUCUAAAUAGUGCCUUUCCAUUCUUAUUCAAUGUCCCCCCGCUGAAAUAUAAACUCUGUGACAGCAGGAACCUUGUUCACCUCAUCUGUCCUGUAUUCCCAGUGCCUGGAAAAUGGAAUUUACUGAUUGGAGGGACAGGUGUGUGGCUACAGUCUGGGGCUCUUUUCACCUGGACUUUCUCACACUUGAUAUUGAAAAUACUUAGAGCCUCACUAGAAAAUGUCAGUAUGUUCAAUAUCCUCUGUUAGGAUGUAACCAUUGUCUCAUUAUUGAGUCAAACAAAACUGUCUUCACAUUAUGAGAGGUGGCAGAGCAGAGGGGAUAAAAGUGUCACCAGAGCAGCUAUGCUGCUUGCUAACUAGGCAACGGGGGGCGAGUUACUUGACCUCUCUGUGCCUCAGUUUCCUCUUCAGUGAAGGAGAGACGUAAAAGUACCAAUACUUUCCUCGUAGAUUUGUUUGGAGAAUUAAAUGAGUUCAUGUAUAUAAUGUUUAAAGAACCUGACAUGAAAUAUUUCACUUAAUGUUUGCUUUAUAGCAAUUUCAUCGCCAUCAUCAUCAUCAUUGAUUUGAGAUGUCCAUUGGGGAAUAACUCUGUGUGAUCAGCCAUAAAAAGGUUGAUAGGUUCUGAUCAUAAAAAGUUUAAGCUUCUUAAAUUGAAGUCUGUAAUGAUUCCCCUUGGAGCACUUAGCUGGAUUAGCCUG
rnacentral:lncRNA from 1 species